UACGUAGGGUGCAGGCGUUUAAUCGGAAUUACUGGGCGUAAAGCGCGCGUAGGCGGCUUUGUAAGUUAGAGGUGAAAGCCCGGAGCUCAACUCCGGAAUUGCCUUUAAGACUGCAUCGCUUGAAUCAUGGAGAGGUGAGUGGAAUUCCGAGUGUAGAGGUGAAAUUCGUAGAUAUUCGGAAGAACACCAGUGGCGAAGGCGACUCACUGGACAUGUAUUGACGCUGAGGUGCGAAAGCGUGGGGAGCAAACAGG
rnacentral:rRNA from 1 species